ACAAAGAGAGUAGCGCACUGGUGAGUAACACGUGGGAACGUACCUUGAAGUGGGGAAUAGCGUCUGGAAACGGACGAUACUACCGCAUAAUCCCUGAGGGGGAAAGAUUUAUCGCUUUAAGAACGGCCCGCGGAAGAUUAGGUAGUUGGUGGGGUAAAGGCCUACCAAGCCUACGAUCUAUAGCUGGUCUGAGAGGACGAUCAGCCACAUUGGAACUGAGACACGGUCCAAACUCCUACGGAAGGCAGCAG
rnacentral:rRNA from 1 species